UUACGGCCAUAUCAUGUUGAAACACCGGUUCUGGUACGACCACCGAAGUUAAGCAACGUCGAGCUUGGUCAGUACCUAGAUGGGUGACCGUUUGGGAGC